rnacentral:siRNA from 1 species
AAGGCUGCAAAUGGUUGUCUUA